GUUGCUUUGUAGCCUUUUGGCUGAAUCAAAUGUAGUACUGUUCUUAUCAGCUUAAUAUCUGGUAUGUCCCCUAUCUGAGGAUAAAUAUAUAAAUGGAUUUUUGGAGCAGGGAGAAGAAAUUAGUAGCUUGCUCCAUCCACUGUCAUCCAUCGACCUGGUUAUUUCAGUACUUCCGGGAAUGAUACACCUCUA
rnacentral:snRNA from 1 species